rnacentral:rRNA from 1 species
GAUGAACGCUGGCGGCGUGCCUAAUACAUGCAAGUCGAGCGAACAGACGAGGAGCUUGCUCCUCUGACGUUAGCGGCGGACGGGUGAGUAACACGUGGAUAACCUACCUAUAAGACUGGGAUAACUUCGGGAAACCGGAGCUAAUACCGGAUAAUAUAUUGAACCGCAUGGUUCAAUAGUGAAAGACGGUUUUGCUGUCACUUAUAGAUGGAUCCGCGCCGCAUUAGCUAGUUGGUAAGGUAACGGCUUACCAAGGCAACGAUGCGUAGCCGACCUGAGAGGGUGAUCGGCCACACUGGAACUGAGACACGGUCCAGACUCCUACGGGAGGCAGCAGUAGGGAAUCUUCCGAAAUGGGCGAAAGCCUGACGGAGCAACGCCGCGUGAGUGAUGAAGGUCUUCGGAUCGUAAAACUCUGUUGUUAGGGAAGAACAAAUGUGUAAGUAACUAUGCACGUCUUGACGGUACCUAAUCAGAAAGCCACGGCUAACUACGUG